GAGGUAAAGGCUCACCAAGCCAACGAUCUGUAGCUGGUCUGAGAGGACGACCAGCCACACUGGAACUGAGACACGGUCCAGACUCCUACGGGAGGCAGCAGUGGGGAAUUUUGGACAAUGGACGCAAGUCUGAUCCAGCCAUUCCGCGUGCAGGAUGAAGGCCCUCGGGUUGUAAACUGCUUUUGUACGGAACGAAAAGGUUUGUCUUAAUACGAUGAGCUCAUGACGGUACCGUAAGAAUAAGCACCGGCUAACUACGUG
rnacentral:rRNA from 1 species